rnacentral:rRNA from 1 species
CAGCAGCCACGGUAAUACGGAGGGGGCUAGCGUUGUUCGGAAUUACUGGGCGUAAAGCGCACGUAGGCGGCUUGGUAAGUUAGAGGUGAAAGCCCGGAGCUCAACUCCGGAAUUGCCUUUAAGACUGCCGAGCUAGUAGGUGAGAGAGGUAAGUGGAAUUCCGAGUGUAGAGGUGAAAUUCGUAGAUAUUCGGAAGAACACCAGUGGCGAAGGCGGCUUACUGGCUCAUUCUAGACGCUGAGGUGCGAAAGCGUGGGGAGCAAACAGGAUUAGAUACCCGUGUAGUCCCUGUCUCUUAUAC